rnacentral:rRNA from 1 species
AUUGAACGCUGGCGGCAUGCCUUACACAUGCAAGUCGAACGGUAACAGGUCUUCGGAUGCUGACGAGUGGCGAACGGGUGAGUAAUACAUCGGAACGUGCCUAGUAGUGGGGGAUAACUACUCGAAAGAGUGGCUAAUACAGCAUGAGAUCUACGGAUGAAAGCAGGGGAUCGCAAGACCUUGUGCUACUAGAGCGGCCGAUGGCAGAGUAGGUAGUUGGUGGGAUAAAAGCUUACCAAGCCGACGAUCUGUAGCUGGUCUGAGAGGACGAUCAGCCACACUGGGACUGAGACACGGCCCAGACUCCUACGGGAGGCAGCAGUGGGGAAUUUUGGACAAUGGGCGCAAGCCUGAUCCAGCAAUGCCGCGUGCAGGAUGAAGGCCUUCGGGUUGUAAACUGCUUUUGUACGGAACGAAAAGCCCUGGGUUAAUACCCUGGGGUCAUGACGGUGCCGUAAGAAUAAGCACCGGCUAACUACGUGCCAGCCGCCGCAGUAAUAC